rnacentral:pre_miRNA from 1 species
AAAGUACUCCCUCCGUCCCAAAAUUCCUGUCUUAGAUUUGUCUAGAUACGGAUGUAUCAAGUCACAUUUUUGUAUUAGAUACAUCCAUAUCUAGACAAAUCUAAGACAAGAAAUUUGGGACAGAGGGAGUAGUUG